rnacentral:lncRNA from 1 species
UGUUCCUUGUCAUGUGAUAGGUCAUGGGAAUGGGACAAUUCUUUUUCCUAGUGCUCUCUCAGACCAACACAGACCAAGACACUGAGACUUACACAGAUUUACUGAAACCACAUUUCUGGGUUUUAACAAAAUUCAGAGAAAAAUGAAGGCAAAGUCUGAAUCCAAUUAUCAAAGAGAAGAUACCCAUAUUCUGAACAAACUGAGAAUCCUGAUGCUGGGGUGCGUCUUUGUCUGGAAAAGUGCUGCUGGAAACAUUAUCCUGAACACUGAUAAGUUUGAGGCGGGAGAAAGAACACUGAAGUCUACAAGACGUUGUGGUGUGGUUGUAGACACACCAGGAUGGUGGAAGCUCUUUCUGGCUGAGUUCACUCUUCCCUCAGUGAGGUCAGAUAUCCUGGCAGGUGUUUCUUUGUGCUCUCCUGCCCCCAAUGCUGUCCUCCUGAUGAUUCCUGUGGAUACAUAUUUUACUGAGGAACAGAGGAAGGUGACACAGGACAACAUGAAGCUGCUGGGAGAGAACAUCUGAAGACACACUAUAGUGGUGUUUACCAGGGGGGCGUGGCUGAGAGACACAACAACCAUUGAGCAGCACAUUGAGAGUGAAGGGGAGGCCCUCCGGUGGCUCAUCGAGAAAUGUGGGAACAGGUAUCAUGUCUUUGACAGUAAGGGUGAAGACACUGAAACUUAGGUCACAGAGCUGCUGGAUGAAAUGGAGGAGAUGGUGUCAGGAAACUUUUUUCUGAUACCCAUUGUCUAGUGGAGACAAAGUCUGAUCCACAGCCAGAGGUCAAUGAAGAGGAAGAAGCAACUGGCAAGAUCGGACAAAUUCUCAAUAAAGACUGGGAUCGGAGAAACUGUGAUAGUCUGGAAAUAGCGAUGGCAUCAAAUAGAAGUAUGAGUGCAGCUAUUAACUGGGAGUACUCUCUCUUCUUUUCUCUCUCUUUCCCUUAGCGCUUUUUCUUUGAUUGAGGUUCAUCAUCAUUAUUGUCAUUUCUGUGCAGUCAGAGACAAGCCACCCUUGGAGAGCUCAUAACUGGGAGAGGGAGUGUUUGGCAGAAGAGCAGAGACCAUGGCAGAGCAGAAGGAGGUUGAGGCUGCCAGCAGCAGUAAGCAAGCAUUGUCUUAUUUUCAUAAAGUUGUGUACCUGACAGUGUUCUUCUUUCAUAAUCGUCCUGGUUUCAACAGGAACAGGUCAAAGUACAGACAUAAACCAGUUGACAUGCAGAGCUGAACAGCAUAUUCAGAGAAUUGCUGGAGAGGCAGUGGAGCAGGCAUGAGAUAGCCUAUCUACAGAGUCAUGGUGAGCAUUUAGUCACAAACAUAACAACCACAGGAUGCAUCAGGCUUGCUGUCUCCUGUCUGUAUAGUCUCACCAAAUCCCCAUGAAACCUUAACAAUAGUUUUCCAAUGCAAUGCCUAUACAAAACAUGGAAGAUUUACCAAAACAUUUAUUGAAAUAUUACAUUCAUCUGUUUUAUUUUACUUUCAAUUAAUACAUUUUCAAAGUGCAAACUGCACUGUAGUAUUACAGAUGCAACACUCUGACAUGAACACAGAUAAUAUAUCAGAUACUGAUGCUGAAGAGCUCCACAGAUCCCGUCACAGAGCCACCGAGUGGCUGAAAGGACAGCAGAAACGUUAUAACAGCUCUGGACUUGGCACCACAAGUAUGGAAUAUAUACACAGCAGUAACACAGGGGACUUUGAGACAUAUAUGAGCAACUAGCUCAUGAUGAAGAGAAACAUCAUGCAUUAACUUCUCUAGUUUAGGAGUAAAUGUGACUAGCCUCAGAAGACAACAGAGAUGUGACACAGAUUCUUCUACUUUAACCCACCCAACACUGUGAUGCUAUAUUGUGGACCAUUUAUCUGAAGUCAGUUUACGUUUUACAUUCUCUUAGUUUUUGAUUUGUAAAUAUGUAUUUACAGUAGAUGAUCUACUAACUGAAUAUAUACAGUAUAUUACACAUGUGCUGCCCUAUAAAACCCAUCUUUGAUACAUGUCCUAUGCAUUAUUGUCACGGCCGUCGUAUAAAGUGGACCAAAAUGCAGCGGGAGUCUGUAUACUCAUCUUCUUUUUUAUUGUCAGAAAGAAGGAAAAACAAAACAAAACACACGUAUACAAAAAUAAUGACGACAAACAGUCCUGUAAGGCACACAGCUAUACACGAAACAACUACCCACAAAAACCCAUGAAAAAACACCCCUGCUAAAUAGGACCUUCAAAACCCCGAAACACAUAAAACAAACACCCCCUGCCACAUCCUGACCAAACUACAAUAACAAAUAACCCCUUUUACUGGUCAGGACGUGACAAUUAUGUAUACAAUUCUAAUGUAAUACUGUCCUUAUCAAACUGUUUAUUGUACCAAUGCUAAAAAAAUUCUGUAAAUAUAAUUAUUGAAAUAAUCAAAUAAAGAUUCUGAUCAAACAGUGGAGUAAUUCAGUAUGAGAACAGCGUAGGCUACUUUAUGUCACUCUGGAUAAUGUUUACUACUGAAUUAGUAAAUGUAGGCCUAUAAAUGCAAAAGUACUGCCUCCUCUGUGCUGUCCUAGCUCACACACAUAAUACACUUUAUCUACCCAUAGAGAACCCUAGAGAUGUAGUCUAUAGGCUGUAACUGUGUGUCACUCUGACAUGAGGCUCUUGGGGAGCUCCAGGUCUAAAUCAUCCACUGAAGAAUGAUUGUUUACAGCUCACCUGUAAAGUGUAUUGAUGUGUGCACAGGUCAAAUGUAGCCUAUAUGGAGAAACAUCAGAUACCUGUAAAAGGUGGUCAGGGGCAACGAGCUCUAUUUAAACAUACUGGUGUAAAAAAUGACACCAGUAUUAGUUUAGUUUAGUUUAUUAAUUCGACCAUUUAAAAAAAACAGGCACACAUAAAACUUAAAAGCCAUACAUGCACAUUAAUAAAAUCAUCGAGGAUAACACACAAUAAAGUCUGGGACUUAUUUCCAUUGUGGUCCUCUUGAGACAAGAUGGCUAGACAAGAUCCAACACAGUAUGGCAGUGAAAUAAUAAAACAAAAACAUAGAAGAAGAACAUCUAUCUCAUCAUUCCAGUUACAUCAUAGGGGUUAUUCAUAUGGGCACAGAGGACAUCAAACAUAUUUUUACUUUAUUUUUAAAGCUGUCCAUAGAGGACGUUGUUUUUAAAGACAGAGGCAACUCAUUCCAUUCUGAGGCUCCAGUAUACAAGAAAGUACCUUUCCCAGCAUUACUCCUGAACCUGUAUAAGCACACAUCAGCAACACCUGAUCUAGUGCUGUGAUUGUGUGCAUCCCUAACAUGAGGAAAGUAAUCACUUAGAUAUCUGGGCGCAGGACCAUAAAUACUUCUGUAAACCAAACCUAGUCUAAUCUGGGACACCCUAGCCUCAACAGGCAAUCAGUUUAGUUCCUGAAAGCAGCUCCUGCCUAUGUGUGUACAUGGACUCACCUUCAAUACUACCCUGAUCAACUUAUUCUGGGCUAUCUGGACCCCUGUCAUUGGUUGGUUCAUCUUGGUUUGACCCCUGUCAUUGGUUGGUUCAUCUUGGUUUGACCCCUGUCAUUGGUUGGUUCAUCUUGGUUUGACCCCUGUCAUUGGUUGGUUCAUCUUGGUUUGACCGCUGUCAUUGGUUGGUUCAUCUUGGUUUGACCCCUGUCAUUGGUUGGUUCAUCUUGGUUUGACCGCUGUCAUUGGUUUGUUCAUCUUGGUUUGACCGCUGUCAUUGACUCAACUUUUCAUGAACCUUUUCAUUGCCUUACCUCCCUUAUCCUACCUCAUUUGUACACACUGUAUAUAGACUUUAUGUAUUGUAUUAUUGACUGUAUGUUUGUUUAUUCCAUGUGUAACUCUGUGUUGUUGUUUGUGUCGCACUGCUUUGCUUUAUCUUGGCCAGGUCGCAGUUGUAAAUGUCACAACUUAUGGAUGAGCCCCCACUUGUCACAACUUAAAAUGAUGUGCUUGCUCAAAUGGUCUCAUAUGUUCAUUCAACUAUACAUUUUUAUUUGGACAUCUUACCCCCCCCCCCCCAAAAAAAAAAAAGGCUGUGGAAGUUUUUAACAUACAAUGUUUUCAACUUACUUAUAUAUUUGACACACGUUGACGUACAUUUUGUGUACAAAACAUUAGGAACAUGUGUAGUGGUAGAGUAGUGUGUAAUAAUGUGUUGUGUGAUGUACUGUUUUAUUGUUUUUUGAUGUAAUCGCCUUAAUCUUGUUUGGACCCCAGGAAGAGUAGCUGC